rnacentral:rRNA from 1 species
AGUGAACGCUGGCGGUAGGCCUAACACAUGCAAGUCGAACGGCAGCACAGUAAGAGCUUGCUCUUACGGGUGGCGAGUGGCGGACGGGUGAGGAAUACAUCGGAAUCUACUUUUUCGUGGGGGAUAACGUAGGGAAACUUACGCUAAUACCGCAUACGACCUACGGGUGAAAGCAGGGGAUCUUCGGACCUUGCGCGAUUGAAUGAGCCGCUGUCGGAUUAGCUAGUUGGCGGGGUAAAGGCCCACCAAGGCGACGAUCCGUAGCUGGUCUGAGAGGAUGAUCAGCCACACGGGAACUGAGACACGGUCCAGACUCCUACGGGAGGCAGCAGUGGGGAAUAUUGGACAAUGGGCGCAAGCCUGAUCCAGCCAUACCGCGUGGGUGAAGAAGGCCUUCGGGUUGUAAAGCCGUUUUGUUGGGAAAGAAAAGCAGCAGGUUAAUACCCCGCUGUUCUGACGGUACCCAAAGAAUAAGCACCGGCUAACUUCGUG